rnacentral:piRNA from 1 species
UGGUCUACAGAUCGAGUUCCAGGCCAGC